GUGAAACUUGUGGAAUCCAUUAUUUUAUAAUUUGGUGAAAUUUAUCACAUCUUGCUUGAAAUAAAUUUGCUGUUCAUUGACAUUAUUACUUAAUGGCACUUCCUUUUUGUCACAGUCACAUGCAAUUCACCACAACACUUCUCACUUUUCCAAAUACUCUUGUCUCCUCUCUCUCUCUCUCUCUCAUUACAGAUGCUCUCAUUAGCUCUUGUUGUUCACAGAGACUCGUGUCAGGAAUGACACAUGAGUGAUAUGCAUUGGGUUGGAUUUGGUGACUGUUAUUUUGGAGUGUGGCGUGAAGAGUCUUGGGGACAUUAAAUCACUGAGAGUUCUCAUGCAAGACGGACUCUCCCAUCACUUACUUACUGUAAAUGAGCAACUUUACGAAUUGCUUCAGAACGAAUCUGCUGAUGUUUAUGGUCGCUCUUUGACAAAGUGCUUUCUUCUUUUUGAUUCAAAUUGUCAUCAUCUCAAACUACAGCUGGAGUGGUUCCUUAAUAAGCUAAUGCACACAAUACAAUUAGAUCAGUCAAGACUUCAAGCAGGCAGACAAGAGCUAACAUUAGAAUGUCUCAAUUAAUGUCUUAAUGUCUUAAUUAAUGUCUUAAGAAAGAGUACAUUUAUGUACACGAGA